rnacentral:rRNA from 1 species
AGUGAACGCUGGCGGUAGGCUUAACACAUGCAAGUCGUACGGCAGCACAUUCUUAGCUUGCCUUUACGGGUGGCGCGUGGCGGACGGGUGAGGAAUACAUCGGCUUCUACUUUUUCGUGGGGGAUAACGUAGGUAAACUUACGCUAAUCCCUCACACGCCCUCCGGGUGAUAGCAGGGGAACUUCGGACCUUGCGCGAUCGUUUCAGCCGAUGUCGGAUUAGCUAGUUGGCGGGGUAACGGCCCACCAAGGCGACGAUCCGUAGCUGGUCUGAGAGGAUGAUCAGCCACACUGGAACGGAGACACGGUCCAGACUCCUACGGGAGGCAGCAGUGGGGAAUAUUGGACGAUGGGCGCAAGCCUGAUCCAGCCAUACCGCGUGGGUGAAGAAGGCCUUCGGGUUGUAAAGCCCUUUUGUUGGGAAAGAAAAGCAGCAGGUUAAUACCCCGCUGUUCUGACGGUACCCAAAGAAUAAGCACCGGCUAACUUCGUG